rnacentral:tRNA from 1 species
CACUGAGAAGCUAAAUAUUGGGUAAAAGCAUUGGCCUUUUAAGCCAAAAAUUGGUGAUUCCCGACCACCCCCAGUGA